rnacentral:snoRNA from 13 species
UUCCACUGAUGACUUUCUGUUUAGUGCCACGUGUCUGGGCCACUGAAUCCUCAUGAUGGAACUGAGGAUCUGAGGAA